GGGGUAUAGUAGCAAUACUAGAGACCGGCGCACGGGUGCGUAACGCGUAUGCAAUCUACCUUAUACAGAGGGAUAGCCCAGAGAAAUUUGGAUUAAUACCUCAUAGCAUAGCAACUUCGCAUGAAGUCACUAUUAAAGUUCCAACGGUAUAAGAUGAGCAUGCGUCCUAUUAGCUAGAUGGUAAGGUAACGGCUUACCAUGGCUACGAUAGGUAGGGGUCCUGAGAGGGAGAUCCCCCACACUGGUACUGAGACACGGACCAGACUCCUACGGGAGGCAGCAGUGAGGAAUAUUGGACAAUGGGCGCAAGCCUGAUCCAGCCAUGCCGCGUGCAGGAAGACGCAUCUAUGGUGUGUAAACUGCUUUUGUACGGGAAGAAACACUCCCUCGUGAGGGAGCUUGACGGUACCGUAAGAAUAAGGAUCGGCUAACUCCGUGCCGGCAGCCGCGGUAAUACGGAGGAUCCAAGCGUUAUCCGGAAUCAUUGGGUUUAAAGGGUCCGUAGGCGGUUUGGUAAGUCAGUGGUGAAAGCCCAUCGCUUAACGAUGGAACGGCCAUUGAUACUGCCAGACUUGAAUUACUGGGAAGUAACUAGAAUAUGUAGUGUAGCGGUGAAAUGCUUAGAUAUUAC
rnacentral:rRNA from 1 species